rnacentral:rRNA from 1 species
AACGAACGCUGGCGGCAUGCCUAACACAUGCAAGUCGAACGAAGCCUUCGGGCUUAGUGGCGCACGGGUGCGUAACGCGUGGGAAUCUGCCCUUUGGUUCGGCGUCACAGUUGGAAACGCCUGCUAAUACUGGAUGAUGACUACAGUCCAAAGAUUUAUCGCCAGAGGAUGAGCCCGCGUAGGAUUAGCUAGUUGGUGUGGUAAAAGCGCACCAAGGCGACGAUCCUUAGCUGGUCUGAGAGGAUGAUCAGCCACACUGGGACGGAGACACGGCCCAGACUCCUACGGGAGGCAGCAGUGGGAAAUAUUGGACAAUGGGCGAAAGCCUGAUCCAGCAAUGCCGCGUGAGUGAUGAAGGCCCUAGGGUUGUAAAGCUCUUUUACCCGGGAUGAUAAUGACAGUACCGGGAGAAUAAGCCCCGGCUAACUCCGUGCCAGCCGCCGCGGUAA